rnacentral:rRNA from 1 species
AUGAACGCUGGCGGCGUGCCUAAUACAUGCAAGUCGAGCGAACGGACGAGAAGCUUGCUUCUCUGAUGUUAGCGGCGGACGGGUGAGUAACACGUGGAUAACCUACCUAUAAGACUGGGAUAACUUCGGGAAACCGUAGCUAAUACCGGAUAAUAUUUUGAACCGCAUGGUUCAAAAGUGAAAGACGGUCUUGCUGUCACUUAUAGAUGGAUCCGCGCUGCAUUAGCUAGUUGGUAAGGUAACGGCUUACCAAGGCAACGAUGCAUAGCCGACCUGAGAGGGUGAUCGGCCACACUGGAACUGGGACACGGUCCAGACUCCUACGGGAGGCAGCAGUAGGGAAUCUUCCGCAAUGGGCGAAAGCCUGACGGAGCAACGCCGCGUGAGUGAUGAAGGUCUUCGGAUCGUAAAACUCUGUUAUUAGGGAAGAACAUAUGUGUAAGUAACUGUGCACAUCUUGACGGUACCUAAUCAGAAAGCCACGGCUAACUACGUG